rnacentral:rRNA from 1 species
GAUGAACGCUGGCGGCGUGCCUAAUACAUGCAAGUCGAGCGAACGGACGAGAAGCUUGCUUCUCUGAUGUUAGCGGCGGACGGGUGAGUAACACGUGGAUAACCUACCUAUAAGACUGGUAUAACUUCGGGAAACCGGAGCUAAUACCGUAUAAUAUUUUGAACCGCAUGGUUCAAAAGUGAAAGACGGUCUUGCUGUCACUUAUAGAUGGAUCCGCGCUGCAUUAGCUAGUUGGUAAGGUAACGGCUUACCAAGGCAACGAUGCAUAGCCGACCUGAGAGGGUGAUCGGCCACACUGGAACUGGGACACGGUCCAGACUCCUACGGGAGGCAGCAGUAGGGAAUCUUACGCAAUGGGCGAAAGCCUGACGGAGCAACGCCGCGUGAGUGAUGAAGGUCUUCGGAUCGUAAAACUCUGUUAUUAGGGAAGAACAUAUGUGUAAGUAACUGUGCACAUCUUGACGGUACCUAAUCAGAAAGCAACGGCUAACUACGUG